rnacentral:rRNA from 1 species
CCUACGGAGGCAGAAGUGAGGAAUAGUGGUCAAUGGGCGCGAGCCUGAACCAGCCAAGUAGCGUGAAGGAGGACGGGCCUACGGGUUGUAAACUUCUUUUAUAAAGGAAGAAAGUGAGGCACGUGGGCCGUUUUGUAGGUACUUUAUGAAUAAGGAGCGGCUAACUCCGUGCCAGCAGCCGCGGUAAUACGGAGGAUCCGAGCGUUAUCCGGAUUUAUUGGGUUUAAAGGGCGCGGAGAUGGGUUGUUAAGUCAGUUGUGAAAGUUUGCGGCUCAACCGUAAAAUUGCAAUUGAUACUGGCAGCCUUAGGUACAGUUGAGGUAGGCGGAGUUCGUGGUGUGGCGGUCAACUGCU